AAUUUACAGACCAAGUUAUUAAGAGCUAUUGGUGGAUGCCUUGGCAUUGACAGGCGAUGAAGGAUGCGUUUACCUGCAGUAAUCUUCGGCGAGCUGGUAUAAAGCUAUGACCCGGAGGUCUCCGAAUGGGGCAACCCGGUAGAUUAAUCAUCUACCAUUAUACGUUGAAUACAUAGGCGUAUAAGGCGACACCUGCUGAACUGAAACAUCUUAGUAAGCAGAGGAAAAUAAAUCAAAGAGAUUCCCUAAGUAGCGGCGAGCGAAAGGGGAGAAGACCAAACCACAUUUUUAAUGUGGGGUUGUAGGGUCGAUAACAUGGGAUCUUAAGUUUUAGUUGAAUACUUCUGGAAAGUAGAACGAUACAGGGUGAUAGUCCCGUAGACGAAAAAACAAGAGACUCUAUUCGA
rnacentral:rRNA from 1 species